AAGAAAGCGAUGAUAAGAAAUAGUAGAAAAUUAAAAUAGCUAAGAGAACUGAUGGUUGGUGCGAAUCAGUGUAUUAAGAUUUUUGAACUCAUCUUUGAGCAUAAUUUCUGAAUCAGUAGGAAAUUACGUCCCCUGCGUUAAAGGAUUGAGAGUCUAUCGAAUAUCGAUAGGAAUUAAGGUGGUACCGCGAGCAAUUCGUCCUUUAU
rnacentral:ncRNA from 1 species